CAGCCGCCGCGGUAAUACAGAGGGUGCGAGCGUUAAUCGGAUUUACUGGGCGUAAAGCGUGCGUAGGCGGCUUUUUAAGUCGGAUGUGAAAUCCCUGAGCUUAACUUAGGAAUUGCAUUCGAUACUGGGAAGCUAGAGUAUGGGAGAGGAUGGUAGAAUUCCAGGUGUAGCGGUGAAAUGCGUAGAGAUCUGGGGGAAUACCGAUGGCGAAGGCAGCCAUCUGGCCUAAUACUGACGCUGAGGUACGAAAGCAUGGGGAGCAAACAGGAUUAGAUACCCGGGUAGUCCCUGUCUCUUAUAC
rnacentral:rRNA from 1 species